UACGAGGGGGGGCGAGCGUUGUUCGGAAUUAUUGGGCGUAAAGGGUGCGUAGGCGGUUUGGUAAGUCUGAUGUGAAAUCUAUGGGCUCAACUCAUAGUCUGCAUCGGAAACUGCCGGGCUUGAGUGUGGGAGAGGUGAGUGGAAUUCCUGGUGUAGCGGUGAAAUGCGUAGAUAUCAGGAGGAACACCGGUGGCGAAGGCGGGUCUCUGGGCAGUAACUGACGCUGAGGAGCGAAAGCGUGGGGAGCGAACAGG
rnacentral:rRNA from 1 species